rnacentral:rRNA from 1 species
GCCGCUACCUCCUACCCAUGUCUUUUGAGUACUUACGUUUCCUCGGCGGGUCCGCCCGCCGAUUGGACAAAAUUAAACCCUUUGCAGUUGCAAUCAGCGUCUGAAAAACAUAAUAGUUACAACUUUCAACAACGGAUCUCUUGGUUCUGGCAUCGAUGAAGAACGCAGCGAAAUGCGAUAAGUAGUGUGAAUUGCAGAAUUCAGUGAAUCAUCGAAUCUUUGAACGCACAUUGCGCCCCUUGGUAUUCCAUGGGGCAUGCCUGUUCGAGCGUCAUUUGUACCUUCAAGCUUUGCUUGGUGUUGGGUGUUUGUCUCGCCUUUGCGUGUAGACUCGCCUCAAAACAAUUGGCAGCCGGCGUAUUGAUUUCGGAGCGCAGUACAUCUCGCGCUUUGCACUCAUAACGACGACGUCCAAAAGUACAUCUUUACACUCUUGACCUCGGAUCAGGUAGGGAUACCCGCUGAACUUAAGCAUAUCAAUAAGCGGAGG